rnacentral:rRNA from 1 species
GACGAACGCUGGCGGCGUGCUUAACACAUGCAAGUCGAACGGUAAGGCCCUUCGGGGUACACGAGUGGCGAACGGGUGAGUAACACGUGGGUGAUCUGCCCUGCACUUCGGGAUAAGCCUGGGAAACUGGGUCUAAUACCGGAUAGGACUCCUGGCUUCAUGGUUGGGGGUGGAAAGCUUUUGCGGUGUGGGAUGGGCCCGCGGCCUAUCAGCUUGUUGGUGGGGUAAUGGCCUACCAAGGCGACGACGGGUAGCCGGCCUGAGAGGGUGACCGGUCACACUGGGGCUGAGGGACGGCCCAGACUCCUACGGGAGGCAGCAGUGGGGAAUAUUGCACAAUGGGCGCAAGCCUGAUGCAGCAACGCCGCGUGAGGGAUGACGGCCUUCGGGUUGUAAACCUCUUUCAGCUAUGACGAAGCGCAAGUGACGGUAGUAGCAGAAGAAGGACCGGCCAACUACGUGCCAGCCGCCGCAGUAA